AAGACCCUGAUUAUUAUUACAGAGAUUUCUUGUUUGAGUGACCGUUGGAAUGAAACUAAUAUUACGUGAUAUGGUUUCAGAUUCGAGGAGAUUAGGACUUCGGUCGGAACCUCCCGUUGUCCAGUGGCUAUAUAUAUAUGCUCACAUGAUUGAGUAACUUGAGAUAAGACUUUUUACCUCCCGGCAAGAAAGGAAGCUUCUCUCUCUACAAUCCUCUCUAGAAAAAACCCUAGUUUUUCUACGCUUGGGCGGCCGGCGGUUAUAUUUGGUGGAUCUGUGUCUUUGCGCUUCCGUACAGGUCAGAUCUGGCGCGUCGGACUUGGAUCUCCGGAGGAAAAGGGCGGAGGAGUGGAUGUGCGGUUCCUCUGGGCGCGUUGAGUGGCGGGGGUUUGGAUCUGGUGUCAGAUCUGGACUUUGGUUGCGAGAUCUCUCUCUUUUUCUUGCCCUCUCUGCCUGCUCUUCUCGGUUGGGUGAGUGGAUUAGCUUGGCUGAAGGCGUCAUGGAUCCCUUAGAUGGUGGAGCUGCGGUGCUUCUUCCCCUUGUCUCGGUGGUCUCUAACAUCGUGCUUUUGUUUCCAAGUCAGAAUGGUCUACGGCGGGUUCUCCGUCGUGGGGGCGUGUGCGAAUAGCUGAGUUGCUGGUUUUGUCAACCGUGGCUAAUCUCUUUGGUGGCGGCUCGUGCUGAGAUAGUCUCGGGCCCGCUUUGCCUUAAGGGUGGAGGUUGUUGUUUCUGUCUUUCUGAUGCAGGUUCGAUGGCGUGUGGCGGUUUGUGGGUGCUCCUUCUCCAAUAAAGCUCGACCUUCUCAAUGCAGGUGUCCUUGGUCGCGAGUCUAGCGGUUUGUCCAUGAAGGUCGUGGAUUAGAUGGUCUUAGCAAGCUGUUUUUGACAUCCCGAUCAUUAAGAGUUGGUCACCGGGUACGCCAAUUUCUACCGGGUCCAAUCUCUCGGUUUAACUGCGGGUUUGAUUUCUGCGGCAAGCGACUGUUCUGUCUCUGAUGUUUUCUUUUGUGUACUGCUGUUUUGCUUGUAGAUAGGUCCCGUAACAUUAGGUUUGAGUCUGUGUUAGAUUUCAUUUUCUGUACUCUGCUUCUUGUCACCUAUGUUUGUCUGUAAAAAAUUGAAAACUAGUAAUGAAUUUAACAUUUUUACCAAAAAAAAAAAAA